rnacentral:rRNA from 1 species
UACGUAGGGUGCGAGCGUUGUCCGGAAUUAUUGGGCGUAAAGAGCUCGUAGGCGGUGUGUUACGUCGGCCGUGAAAACCUGCAGCUUAACUGUGGGCGUGCGGUCGAUACGGGCAUCACUGGAGUUCGGCAGGGGAGACUGGAAUUCCUGGUGUAGCGGUGAAAUGCGCAGAUAUCAGGAGGAACACCGAUAGCGAAGGCAGCUCGCUGGGACGGUACUGACGCUGAGGUGCGAAAGCGUGGGGAGCGAACAGG